rnacentral:rRNA from 1 species
GAUGAACGCUGGCGGCGUGCUUAACACAUGCAAGUCGAACGAUGAAGCCCAGCUUGCUGGGUGGAUUAGUGGCGAACGGGCGAGUAACACGUGAGUAACCUGCCCUUAACUCUGGGAUAAGCCUGGGAAACUGGGUCUAAUACCGGAUAGGAGCGUCCACCGCAUGGUGGGUGUUGGAAAGAUUUAUCGGUUUUGGAUGGACUCGCGGCCUAUCAGCUUGUUGGUGAGGUAAUGGCUCACCAAGGCGACGACGGGUAGCCGGCCUGAGAGGGUGACCGGCCACACUGGGACUGAGACACGGCCCAGACUCCUACGGGAGGCAGCAGUGGGGAAUAUUGCACAAUGGGCGCAAGCCUGAUGCAGCGACGCCGCGUGAGGGAUGACGGCCUUCGGGUUGUAAACCUCUUUCAGUAGGGAGGAAGCGAAAGUGACGGUACCUGCAGAAGAAGCACCGGCUAACUACGUG